rnacentral:rRNA from 1 species
AUACGUAGGUGGCGAGCGUUGUCCGGAAUUACUGGGCGUAAAGGAUGCGUAGGUGGAUACUUAAGUGGGAUGUGAAAUCCCCGGGCUCAACCCGGGAACUGCAUUCCAAACUGGGUAUCUAGAGUGCAGGAGAGGAAAGCGGAAUUCCUAGUGUAGCGGUGAAAUGCGUAGAUAUUAGGAGGAACACCAGUGGCGAAGGCGGCUUUCUGGACUCUAACUGACACUGAGGCAUGAAAGCGUGGGUAGCAAACAGGAUUAGAUACCCUGGUAGUCCACGCCGUAAACGAUGGGUACUAGGUGUAGGAGGUAUCGACCCCUUCUGUGCCGUCGUUAACACAAUAAGUACCCCGCCUGGGGAGUACGGUCGCAAGACUAAAACUCAAAUGAAUUGACGGGG